AUCUAGACAACAAUUUCAUCACAGCUUGAAAGAGCAUCACAAAAUUGGUAAUAUUCCGAAGUUUCGUUGCGAAAUGUUGUAAAAUGCGGAUAAUAUAGCCCUGCGAAGUUUGCCGUUUUUCAGUCAUUUUGUAUUACGCACGGGAAAUUGAUAUCUUUUUUCAGAAAGCGGUAUCAAUUUUCCGUGCGUAAUACAAAAUGACUGAAAAACGGCAAAUUUCGCAGGGCUAUAUUAUCCGCAUUUUACAACAUUUCGCAACGAAACUUCGGAAUAUUACUAAUUUUGUGAUGCUCUUUCAAGCUGUGAUGGAAUGUUUGUCUAGACUUGUCUAGAUCAAAAUUUUGUUCAUUAGGGAAUAGGUCCAAUGUUUCCGGAUUUAUUUUACUGAGAUGAGUUUCCCGUUUGUAAUGUGAAUUCUGCUAUUGACAAUACACCCUUUCGAUAAUUACGUCACAGCUACACUGUUUUCAACUUAGGACCACCUUAAAUGGAAAGGAUUUCAAGUUUUUUUUUCUCAUGGGCUAUGCAAAGAGAAGCAGGACAUCUUUCUUCAACACAUUCGCGAAAAAAUAUUCUGGAUUUUGAUCAAUAAAUAUGGAAAUAAAAAGAAAACGAGGCUCCAGGUCUCGUUUUCGUGUUAAAGCUUAUUUCCAUAUUUAUUGGUCAAAAUAAAGAAUCAUUUUUCGCGCAUGUGUUGAAGAAGGAUAUGUUCUUAUCUGCGGAAAUUUUUUUUAUAUAUGUCCAGAAAUUGUUUUUGUGUUGAUUUCUCUCUCUUUCUCCUCUCCCUCCCCCUCUCCCGCCGGGUGGCUAACAAUUUUGUGGAAAGAAAUAUUAAUUAGUGGUUGAAAAGUUAGAUAUUUUCAGGUAAAAUUAUGAACUACAGGUAAAAAUCAGGUAGAUUUUUGUUGCUCAUUCCCCCAUUUAUAAUAAAUAUAUUCAGGCUGACAGCAGUUUACAAUUAGUUGCAAUAAAUUGCUAAAAAUACUGAUUUAUAUCCAGUUUUUCAAAUGGAUGAAAUAGUUUCCUUGAGUUCAUGGGCGUACCGGAAGGAAAAAAUUAGGGGGGCGGAAAGAAAAUUGCCCGACUUUUUGGCGACCUCCCCCCCCCCGGCGCCAAAAAAAUUUCGGUCAGUGUACCAUUUUAGGGGUCAAAAAAAAAUUUCCGGACAACCAAUAUUUUUCGGAACAUAACACAAAUUUUCGAAAAAUCACAAAAUUUGCCAAAAAAUUGACUUAAUUUUAGACAAAAUUGACAGAAUUUGUCCCAUUUUUUUUAUUGCAAACCAAAAUUGCCCGACUGUUGAUCGAAUAUUGCCCGACUGCCCAAA